CUUCGGUGAUGAUACGAUGACGAGACAGAACAGGACUCAAACUUGUUCUGCAGGUGCUGGUUCGGGUUCACGUUCUGUGGUCCCGUACCAGUUCCUCAGAUCAGGGAGCUCUUUCUACAUGAAGACACAGAGGCAUUUGUCUGAGAAGG
rnacentral:snoRNA from 1 species